UACGAACCGUGCGAACGUUGUUCGGAAUCACUGGGCUUAAAGGGCGCGUAGGCGGGUUGCCAAGUCCGGGGUGAAAGCCCCCAGCUCAACUGGGGAAGGGCCUUGGAUACUGGUGAUCUUGAGGGAGGUAGGGGCAUGCGGAACUUCCGGUGGAGCGGUGAAAUGCGUAGAUAUCGGAAGGAACGCCGGUGGCGAAAGCGGCGUGCUGGACCUCUUCUGACGCUGAGGCGCGAAAGCCAGGGGAGCAAACGGG
rnacentral:rRNA from 1 species